UUUAAGCAUGUCUUUCUCAGGUGGGGCUGCAGACAGGUUCGUACAAUUGUUUUAUACGGUAGGAGCAUCAUAAUCACUGUCAUAGACUUUAAUUACACAUCAAUAAUAAUGAUUUUCUACAGUUGUAGGUGGAUGUUUAUAACCAGUUAUAAUGAAACAUCGCAAAUUGACUACAUAAGCAGAAGUGUUCACUUGUCCUCAUAAAAUUUAUCCAACACUUGCACUCUGAGGUGCAGUUAGGUUUAACCUUUGACUGCAUUUUGUAGCAACUAUCUCUUCAUCCCAAAGUUCCUCACGGCUUUAAACUCUCCUCUUCCUUGUUCUCAAAUGCUCUCCUCUCUCUCUUUGUCACUAUCUCUAUCUAUCUGUCUUUGUGUAAGCAGCGUUGCAUCGGCUUAGGAUCUACUCCCACUCCUGGUGAAUAAUACUCUGUUGCAGUUUUUCCAGAUUCCCUGUCUGAUGCUCACUUGACAAUAACCCUUCCAUCAGUUCCUGAAGGCGGAGACAUUCCAUGAUGUCAUGCCUUUGGAUGUGUUUGAGUCUGCUGUAUCUCCUACAACACAGUGUUUCAUCAGACCAAGCAGUGUCACUCAUUUGCCCCAAGAACUUGGAAGUCAGUUAUGGAGAAACAGUGACAGUGAACUGUUCAAUUGAAUGGAACAAAAACUGCAUUGGUACAGAAUUCAUCUGGAAAUACCGAGAUGACAUCAUUGAAUGUAAAAACGCCUCAACCAAGUACAUCUGUGACUGGGAUCGUCGCUCUUAUGUGUUCCUGGACAUCUUUGAUGUCAACAACAAUACAAGUGUCUCCGUUGAAAUUGGGUCAAAUUGUGGUUUGGAUGUUUCUCCUUUUAUCACAGUGAAUGUUAGUGGGAUGGUGGUCGAACCUGAUAGGAGCUAUAAGGAGGAGACCCGGUCAAAUCUGAUUCUCGGUGCACUGGCUGUUGUUGCUGCCAUCAUUGUUGUGGCCAUUUUGUCUUUUCUAAUUAAAAAUUGCAUAUCUCGGAAAUUCACUCACACUGGAGUGAACCAAAAUGGUAGUAUUUAAGACGGUUGCUGACAUCUCCAAAAGAAAUGCAAGAAAGGUUUUGUUCUUUCUUUCUUACAGAACUCUUUUGAACCAGCACAGCUUUUGGUCAGACAAUGCUGGUAUGUCCACUGAUCUGAAACCUGGACUGUAUACCCCUUUAAAUUCGCAUGCUUAUGCUGCUGCUGGUGGCAGCUCUGUGUAUGUACAGACUUUUUAGCCAGUGAGUGAGUUCUGCCUUGUUCUGCUCUGAUCAAGUCUAACACAGGGCAAUAAGGCCGGAGCUUGAAGUAAUAAUGAUUCGUAUAUACAUACUGCAUUUGUUGUAAAUGAAAGUUUUUUCUCACAAUACUGAUUUUUUAUUCUAUGAAUUUGGCUACAUCUUACUCUCAGCAAAUGUAUGGUGUACAAUGAAACAAAAUUACAUUAACCUUGUGUGGAGAAUAUUCAUGAAGUAGAGUCUUCAUUUGGAUGUAGGAGGUCAAACAGCAAUUGGCAGUGGAGCAUCACUUGGCACAUCUCUUGACACCCAAGCAAUAAGAAAUCAGGGUAACACCUUGGCCAGCAGUAAUGUCCACACACCAGUCUGCAUUCGGUCUUCAUUGUAACCAGUGUUACGUAAGUUGAUUUAAAAAUGUAACUGGUUAUAUUUAGAAGUUACUGAAAUUGAAGUGUAAUAGUAGUUUAGUCGGGCUCGCCUCCACGCACAGCGUGGGCUCUGGAACCCAUCUCCUUGAGAGGGGUUGGACUCUCUUCUACUCUGGAGUGGCCCAC